rnacentral:rRNA from 1 species
UGAGGAAUAUUGCACAAUGGGGGCAACCCUGAUGCAGCGACGCCGCGUGGGUGAUGAAGGUCUUCGGAUCGUAAAACCCUUUUCUAGGUGACGAGAACGGACGGUAGCCUAGGAAUAAGCCUCGGCUAACUACGUGCCAGCAGCCGCGGUAAAACGUAGGAGGCGAGCGUUAUCCGGAGUUACUGGGCGUAAAGCGUAUGUAGGCGGUUUUCCAAGUUGCGUGUGAAAGCGCCCGGCUAAACUGGGCGAGGCCACGUAAGACUGGAGAGCUAGAGGGUGGUAGAGGGGCGUGGAAUUCCGGGUGUAGCGGUGAAAUGUGUAGAGAUCCGGAGGAACACCAGUGGUGCAGACGGCGCCCUGGGCCACUACUGACGCUGAUAUACGAAAGCGUGGGGAGCGAACGG